rnacentral:piRNA from 1 species
ACUUAAAAGUGGUUCAGGGUAGAG